rnacentral:RNase_P_RNA from 1 species
AAAGCAGGACGGACCGUCGCUGCCGUGGUGACACGGGGGAGGAAAGUCCGGGCUCCAUAGGGCAGGAUGCCGGCUAACGGCCGGGCGGCGAAAGCCGACGGACAGUGCAACAGAGAGCCGAACCGCCGAUGGCGCGGACUGCGCGGCGCGCAAGCGCCGCAAAGGCUCCUUUCCGGGAGGCUUCGGCCAAGCGGACGAGGGGACGCCGAGCGCAAGCAAGGUGACCGCCCGGUCUGGGACGCAUGCGGACCAGACCGGCUGGGUUGAAAGCGCGAUUGAAGCGCGCCGGACCAGGCACAGGCAAGGGUGAAAAGGUGUUCCCGUCGGGGAACCCCCGUGAGGGGGCGGUAAGAGCGCACCGCAGGACUGGCAACAGGACUGGCAGGGUAAACCCCAUCCGGAGCAAGACCAAGCAGCAGGCGUUGAAGCGGCCCGCCGAGUCUGCGGGUAGGUUGCUGGAGCGCCGUGGUAACGCGGCGCCUAGAGGAAUGACGGUCACCCUCGCAAGAGGGGACAGAACCCGGCUUACAGGCCUGCUUUGCAG